rnacentral:rRNA from 1 species
AGCGAACGCUGGCGGCAGGCCUAACACAUGCAAGUCGAACGAACUCUUCGGAGUUAGUGGCGGACGGGUGAGUAACACGUGGGAACGUGCCUUUUGGUUCGGAAUAACUCAGGGAAACUUGUGCUAAUACCGAAUGUGCCCUUCGGGGGAAAGAUUUAUCGCCAUUAGAGCGGCCCGCGUCUGAUUAGCUAGUUGGUGAGGUAACGGCUCACCAAGGCGACGAUCAGUAGCUGGUCUGAGAGGAUGACCAGCCACACUGGGACUGAGACACGGCCCAGACUCCGACGGAAGGCAGCAGUGGGGAAUCUUGCGCAAUGGGCGAAAGCCUGACGCAGCCAUGCCGCGUGAAUGAUGAAGGUCUUAGGAUUGUAAAAUUCUUUCACCGGGGACGAUAAUGACGGUACCCGGAGAAGAAGCCCCGGCUAACUUCGU